rnacentral:lncRNA from 1 species
AUACACAGGCCAUGAGAAAAACAUUUCCCUAGUUAUUUCUUUUUGUUCAUUAAAAAGUCUCUGACUAUUAUUGUUCUUAAAAACACAAGUUGACUUUUGGCUGGAUGAAAAAGAAAGGGCGUAAUUUGAGAGUUAGAUACUUGUUGAUGUUGAGGGUGGUCAUGGUGUCAAGGUAUUUAAUUUUGAGAGAUGAAAAUGAUUUAUUGGGUUAGAUACUUGCAAACUCUAAGAGUGCAACUCUACAAUAUGAAGUUGAUGCAUGCCUUUUCAUAUUUCUUGCUAUGUGUGUACUAUAUUUAGAGUUUUAAUUUUUUAUAUAUGCUUGUUAAAGAAUUUCAUUCCUCUUACCUAUACACGAAUUGUUUGAUUGUGGUAUUAUAUGGUCUCAAGUGAGUUAAUUGUUUAAUCAUUAUUGUUUGAUUG